GACGCGCGGUGGCCGAACGGUAAAGCGCUUUGCUUUCGAACUGGGGUCGGUAGUUCGAAACCUGGUGAAGACUGGGAUUUUUAUUUUCGGGAUCUUCUGAGUCCACCCAGCUAAAAUGGGUACCUGCCAUUAGUUGAGGAAAAGGCGGUUGGUUGUUGUGCUGGCCACAUGACACCCUCGUUAACCGUUAAUCUUUCAUAUUGACCACAAGGUUUCUUGAACUAGUGCACUCAACAUGACCAGCGAGUAUGAUGACAUUGACAUGGACAGUGAUAUCAUUGAAAGUGGUAGUAGUGUCUCUCUCCAACAAGAUACGCAAAGUCUUUUUGAUGUAUUCGUGAAAACUCUGGAUGGUAAAACUGUGACCGUACAAGUUGGAGAGCAUGAAGAAGUCACGAGCUUCAGGAAGAAAGUUCAGGAGAAGACAAACGUGGAAGCAAGUCAGCAGUAUCUUAUUUCAGCAGAAGGGAAGAAACUGCAAGACGGGGAACUACUCAGCAAAUACAAUAUUAAGAAACAUUUUACCAUUUACUGUCAGUGGAGACUCGGGGGAGGCUGACAACUUAAUAUCAAUUGUAUUUAAUAUUUUUUAAAAUAAUUAAUAAAAUAAAUUAAUCCAUUUAUAUUUAAAACAUAAAAUAAUAAUCUGUUGCUACGAAAACAUUUACAAUAAUAAUCAACAGCAAUAAAAUCGUAUACUCUUAUAUAUAUAUAAGAAUAAGAACACGCUUCAUAUAUCAUUACACAUACAGCGUAGUUGAUUAUGAAUAACAACCGGCCGAAAAUGGCUCUGAGUCAGUUUAGCAGAUAUAGUCGAAUGCUAUGAUGACAGAAUAUAUGCUUUCCACGGAUUUAUCAUAAGGUCCUUUCCUGUAACGUUUGGCUGGAAAGAUUGCAACAUUUUCCAUAUUUUUAGCCAAUUCCUUUUCAGUAACAAGAAUUUGAACUUUCAACUCUCACAGUUUCCUAAGCCAUGUGAACAAGUGGUACGUAUCUAUUGCAGUGCUCAAAUCUACUGUCCGCAGUCUUUGAUAAGUUACACUACGAAAUUAUGAUGGCCAGAUUCUGUGCCACUUUUGGUUUAGUUGGCUUGGAUCCUAUCUGACUGAACGCACCCAAAGUGUCGUUGUCAACGGGACAUAAUCAACAAGCUUACUCUUGAAGUACGGAGUACCACAGGGAUCAGUUCUAGGCACAGUUCUGUUCACUAUAUAUACAUAUCCACUCAGCGGUGUCAUACGACCAACCGGCAUCUUAUACCAUUUCUUUGCCGAUGACUCACAGUUAUACGAUUCCUCAUUACCCUCAGAGGUGUCGCAUCUGGCAGAGAAAAUCAGUGGUAUAGUUGCAAGGGUGAGCGAUUGGAUGGUUGAGAAUAAGCUCAAGAUGAACGAAGACAAGACAGAAAUAAUUAAGAUUGGCACUCGGAACAACGUCUCAAAAGUCGAAAGCACAGAUUCUCUUUUUAUCAACAACUGCCAGGUUCCUUAUGUUCCAUGUAUUGCGGAAUCUUGGAGUUUAUUUCGACUCAACACUAUCUUUCGACCCGCACAUAAGUCAGCAAGGGUCUUUAUCUGCAGCUGCGCAGAUUAGAGACCAGAUCCGACCAUAUUUAACAACGGAGUCAACAAAAACGCUAGCUGUGGCAUUCAUACUCUCCUGCCUUGACUACUGCAACGCCAUGCUGGCAGGUAUACCCGAUGACAAAAUAGCCAAGCUGCAACGUAUACAGAACAACGCCGCACGAAUAGUCCUUAGAAAAACAAGACGUGAUUAUGCUACCACGCUUUUGCAAACGCUCCAUUGGCUUCCCGUGAAAGCGAGAAUCGAUUACAAAGUGGCCACACUUGUCAUCAGUGUAUAUAUAACAAUGAGAUGCCUUUUUGUACCUCAGCGAACUUACUCCAUAUGUCCCUAACAGAACCCUGAGCUCAAUGGACACAUCACUUCUUGUGGUGUCACGUUUCUCCCUCAAAAGCUAUGGUCUGUGGGCAUUUCCCAAAGGUUUGUAACUCACUCACCAAUGAUCUUAGACAGAUAACAUGCUACACUACUUUCAAGAAGAACAUUGAGACCUACCUGUUUAAAACUAUUUUGUAUUAGUUUGUUAUUUCAGCUCUCGUGUUUGUGUUUGUAAUGUUAUUACAGCGCCUUGAGCCUACAUUUUGUUUGUUAAUAGCGCUUUAGAAAUAAAAUUAUUAUUACUA